GUCCACGCUGUAAACGAUGUCAACUAGCCGUUGGGGACCUUCGUGUCCUUGGUGGCGUAGCUAACGCGCUAAGUUGACCGCCUGGGGAGUACGGUCGCAAGAUUAAAACUCAAAUGAAUUGACGGGGGCCCGCACAAGCGGUGGAGCAUGUGGUUUAAUUCGACGCAACGCGAAGAACCUUACCAGGUCUUGACAUCCAGAGAAGUCGCUAGAGAUAGCUUCGUGCCUUCGGGAACUCUGAGACAGGUGCUGCAUGGCUGUCGU
rnacentral:rRNA from 1 species